rnacentral:rRNA from 1 species
GGUUGCGAUCAUACCAGCACUAAUGCACCGGAUCCCAUCAGAACUCCGCAGUUAAGCGUGCUUGGGCGAGAGUAGUACUAGGAUGGGUGACCCCCUGGAAGUCCUCGUGUUGCAACCCC